UAAACGGAGUAAAAAAUUAACGUCCGUGUAUCUUGCGUGUCCUUUCCAAAACUAUGAAACACAUUUUAAUGCGGUAUCGCGAAGGUCUUGUAAAGUAUGUAUUUCUUUCUUUUUUCGUUCUAUGUACAUGUUUAAAUUCCGACAAUUUGUUCCGAUUACAACAAACGUAAACAAACGAAUUACAACCUCGCCCCGAGAUCCCGAUGAAAUUUAAAAAUCGCCG